rnacentral:rRNA from 1 species
CCUACGGGAGGCAGCAGUGGGGAAUAUUGGGCAAUGGAGGCAACUCUGACCCAGCAAUGCCGCGUGAAUGAAGAAGGUCUUCGGAUUGUAAAGUUCUUUAAUCAGGGACGAAGAAGAUGACGGUACCUGAGGAAUAAGCCACGGCAAACUAUGUGCCAGCAGCCGCGGUAAUACAUAGGUGGCAAGCGUUGUCCGGAAUGACUGGGCGUAAAGAGCGCGUAGGCGGGAUAGCAAGUCAGAUGUGAAAUCCUAUGGCUUAACCAUAGAACUGCAUUUGAAACUGUUAUUCUAGAGUAUGGGAGAGGUAGGUGGAAUUCUUGGUGUAGGGGUAAAAUCCGUAGAGAUCAAGAGGAAUACUCAUUGCGAAGGCGACCUGCUAGAACAUAACUGACGCUGAUGCGCGAAAGCGUGGGGAGCAAACAGGAUUAGAUACCCGAGUAGUC